UGGAAUGUAGCUCAGUGGUGCAGCAUCUGCCUGGCAAGCAUGAGUCCCUGAGUUUGACUCCCAGUACCCCAA
rnacentral:tRNA from 1 species